AUUGAACGCUGGCGGCAGGCCUAACACAUGCAAGUCGAGCGAGCGGCGGACGGGUGAGUAAUGUAUGGGGACUGCCCGAUAGAGGGGGAUAACUACUGGAAACGGUAGCUAAUACCGCAUACUAUCGGAUAACCCAUGUGGGAUUAGCUGGUAGGUGAGGUAAUGGCUCACCUAGUCGACGAUCCCUAGCUGGUCUUAGAGGAUGAUCAGCCACACGGGGACUGAGAAACGGCCCAGACUCCUACGGAGGCAGCAGUGGGGAAUAUUGCACAAUGGGCGAAAGCCUGACGCAGCCAUGCCGCGUGUAUGAAGAAGGCCCUAGGGUUGUAAAGUACUUUCAGUGGGGAGGCGUUACCGACAGAAGAAGCACCGGCUAACUCCGUGCCAGCAGCCGCGGUAAUUC
rnacentral:rRNA from 1 species